CAGCACACAGGACACUGCUGCUAACAAGAGCGUAGGCCUGAAUGCCAGGAACAUGGACUCGCGACAUUCAUUUGCAAAAAGGCAAACAUGGAGGUUUUCGCAUCCAGAAAAUGCUGCAGCUUCUACCAGCACCUUGGUAACAUCUAACAGCAAGGAGCGCAAUGUGUAAUGCCUACUCAAGAUAAGAAGCCACAACCCUGAAAAGGAAUUCUCUGAAUACGAAUCCCACUGUUCUCCUGGCAGCCCUGCCCUGGCUUUGCAGCAACAAGAGCACCAAGCAGCUCAGCCAUGACACCAACUACACUUUGCCAAAGUGGUAGAAAAAGAGUUAGAGAAGCAAGCAGGAGCAGGCUGUGGACAGCCCACGUCUGCUGCAGCACAAGUGUAAGAAAAGAAUAUGAUUUGGACUACUGUAAGCCUUUCACCAUCUCCCUCAAGGAAACUGCUGAAGAUAAAAUUACAAAUGCAUAUCGUAAGGAGCAGGAGAAAAGCGUGAGGAGGAAGGAGCAACAAAGAAGAACUCCUGGGCUGCCCGCAGCUUCCCCUCCCCAUCCCUUGUGUCGCUUGUGAGGACAGAAGAGCUGACAGGAGAGAGCAGAGGAACAGGGAACCACAGGACAAGGUUGAGCCUGGGAAGAAGGGAGAACUGGGGCAAGGUGGCUUUAGGUUUGGCUUUGUUUCUUACCAUCAUACUCUGUUUUUCAUUCCCAAUAAAGUAAAUUAAUCUUACUCUUCCUUUACUCUCCCACUGCAUCACCUUUUUCUAACACUGCC
ensembl:lncRNA